AGGGUGGGGGAGGGGACAUGAAGAGGGUGUGCCCAUGGCCCCUUCCCCCCACCAGCCCAGCUGAUCUCUCCAUCCAUCCUGGGCCCUCCAGUUUAUGCCUCUUAUUUGCUGACUUUACAUGGUGACAGAAGUGGGAUCCCUAGCUACUGACCUUCAAUUCUGGUGCCACUUCACAGACACAAGCAAGGUGCCUGCAAAGAAUCUUUUGUGCUCUGUCGUCUCCUCCUGGUGGCUCUGGUUCCUGGUGAUUGGUUGCAGACAAUGAUACAGGCAUCAGGAAUUGCAGAGCCAAGAGACGGGAAUUCAUGGGUGACUGACACACCCUGUGGAAGAGAACCACCUGCCCAACGCGAAACCCACCUUGGCCUGUAAGGUAAUCACACAUAAAUUUCUACUCUCUGGUUAUUCUUU